UAACGUGACUACAGUGGUUCAACCUUAAUGUUAUGAAGUGACGAGAAUACGUAUGCAGAAACAAAACAAAAAUAAUGACUUUAUUCAUCCUUUUUUUCUCUUCCCUGUCAGUCUCUUACGCAGUUGAUGCAGUGCAGGCUUCCGCGUCUACGUCAGAAUGGCAACUCUGUAUUGGCCGGUUCCAGCAUCAACAUCACACGCAUGCGCCAUGGUGCUCACAUGAACAGCAUUGACCAAUACUGAGCUGGCAUUUGGUCGUAAACACAGAAGCUCUGCACAUGAAUGAACAUCAGAUGGUGGCUCAAAUGUUCCCCUGCUCACUGCUGAUCAAAGGCCGUCUUUAACAUGACAUAUGGAUCAGCAGACACUAAUGAGAGGGCAGUGGCCAGCUGAAUCUCCACGGUAACAAAAGAGGCUGGGACAUCUGGAGUCAGCCACACACAGACUCCUGCCUUACUAGGAAUGAACUCCUACUAAGGAACAGCACACCAAACAACUUCUUGCCAACUUUUGAGAAUUCAGACAUUUUAAUGGACAUUCUAGUUGGUGAAGCUGCGAUCCUGUACAAGCACUUCAAGAGACGAGGGAAGCAUGCUGGUGCGCUCGUGAAAUUCCGACAGUGCAGAUUCAGGACGCCACUGCUGAGCAUUCACCUGGCGAAUCUCCACUCCCUAGCAAAUGAAGCAGAUGAACUAUUACUCCUCACCCAGAAAAAAUGGGUGAGGCUGUCAAACGGGUUUCCAGCUGUUCAGAGCGGAUCACGUCACCGAGUUAUCUGGGAAAAUGAGAGGUGGUGGAUUAUGUUUUUAUAUCAAUUGAAGGUUGGUGUACAGAUGUGACAGUGUUAAUAAAUAUGUGCUGCCCUAA